CCCUUUGAAGGCAAGGACUAUGUCCUAUUCCACCUUGAAUUCUCAUCACCAAGCGGAACGCCUGACACCUAAUCUAGUCAGUGCUUACUAAGUGCUCAUUAUCAAUGCAAGAAUAACAGAGCUAUGGAACCUGGCAGCCACCUCUUUUCUUUGGGCCUCAGUCUUCUCAUGCAGAACUUGGGAUUGGACUAAAUUGGAUCUCCUAGGCUGCCUCUGACUCUAACAAUUCUCUGAUUUAAAUUAUUCUUCAUCUGGAUGUAAUCCACCUUGCUUUUCCAUCCCAGGCUCUGUUCUCACUCAUGGCUGAUGGGCAAAGGCGACUAAGGAGGCACGGCUCCGUGAGGAUGUCCUUACAACUUUGCAACCCCCAAGGAAAAAGAGGUUGUUUUCCCAAUAUCUACUGUAAAACCUAAGAGGAAAAUUUCACGUUGCUGCAGCUUGGAUCAUGCAUUUAUCAUUUGGACCACCUCUGAGGACAGGGAGUUGCAGUCUGUGAGC
rnacentral:lncRNA from 10 species